rnacentral:rRNA from 1 species
UACGGGGGGGGCAAGCGUUGUUCGGAAUUACUGGGCGUAAAGGGCUCGUAGGCGGCCAACUAAGUCAGACGUGAAAUCCCCAGGCUCAACCUGGGAACUGCGUCUGAUACUGGAUGGCUUGAAUCCGGGAGAGGGAUGCAGAAUUCCAGGUGUAGCGGUGAAAUGCGUAGAUAUCUGGAGGAAUACCGGUGGCGAAGGCGGCCAACUGGACGAAUACUGACGCUGAGACACGAAAGCGUGGGGAGCAAACAGG